rnacentral:misc_RNA from 1 species
CUCGCGGUAUGUAGAAAUAAUUCGAACAGAUUUAAGAUGAGAAAAAACUAAGUCCAACUAUUUAUUCGAUAACUGACAAUGUACUUUUUACAAGAGCAAACUGGAGCGUAUGAAAUAUGAAAUUAGUCUGCUCGUUCUGCGCUUGGCGGAAGAGAUCUUCGGGUGAUGCGGAUCGAUGCCCCUUUCUCGCUGGAUCCUGGAUCCUCCCUCAGGAUUAUCCCUUGUCCAAUGGUGGAGGAGUCCACCCCGUCCGAUGUGGGCCCCUUCUCCUGGCUGUGGUCCACCCUCAGCCGCGUGGUGGUGGAGGCUCCGCCAAGACGCGGGAACGUAACAGCGCACAUGUGCUUAGAGAAAGCGUGGAACACAGAGAAGACGGAAAACAAACAAGUCUUUGUACUAGGUGAAAAUUUACGACCCUCUUCGAGUGCAUGAAAAGACAGAAUAUUCGUAGAAGACCUCGAAGCUUUCAAGAACCGAACGCGACUUAGUCGAAAACAACGAAUUCGAUACGGUCCCUAAUAAAUUAAUCCCUACAAACAUUCGAAGUGAAGCUAAGUUUAUUCUCUGGAUUCCCAAACUUUUCCUAGCAUGAACAUCCACGUCGAGUGGCUUUAACAAUAUAAGCUUUGUCUAUUGUACAUGAUCGCACGCUCAGAUGGUUUAAAUUUCGCUCUUAAUUUAUGGUCAUCGAUAUAACAAAAUACAGACGCGCUCUGUAAAUAUUCUCACGGCCGGGUCGCCAUACUACAUUAACUGUAUUCAGGAUGAUAACCAUACAGCGAAAAAAUAAUCUCUAGAUAAACAUUUGUGGAAAGAAGACACGCGAUGGAAAGCAUAAAUAUUUACAUUUCUUGAGUGUUUGCGAGAGUAAUUUUUAUUUAUAAUCAUGAUAGACGGCAAUAUUUCCAUGGAGGAGGAUACCGAAUUACGAGAUUUAGUGGUACAAACCCUUGAGAAUAAUGGUGUCCUGGCAAAAGUGCGGGCGGAACUCAGGGCAAGUGUGUUUUUAGCUUUAGAAGAACAGGAAUCAGUUAUGGUAUGUCAAAAUGUUUUAUAAUGGCAUAACAACUUUCAGUACACAU